rnacentral:rRNA from 1 species
GGAUGAACGCUGGCGGCGUGCCUAAUACAUGCAAGUCGAGCGAACAGAUAAGGAGCUUGCUCCUUUGAAGUUAGCGGCGGACGGGUGAGUAACACGUGGGUAACCUACCUAUAAGACUGGGAUAACUUCGGGAAACCGGAGCUAAUACCGGAUAACAUUUAGAACCGCAUGGUUCUAAAGUGAAAGAUGGUUUUGCUAUCACUUAUAGAUGGACCCGCGCCGUAUUAGCUAGUUGGUAAGGUAACGGCUUACCAAGGCGACGAUACGUAGCCGACCUGAGAGGGUGAUCGGCCACACUGGAACUGAGACACGGUCCAGACUCCUACGGGAGGCAGCAGUAGGGAAUCUUCCGCAAUGGGCGAAAGCCUGACGGAGCAACGCCGCGUGAGUGAUGAAGGGUUUCGGCUCGUAAAACUCUGUUAUUAGGGAAGAACAAAUGUGUAAGUAACUGUGCACAUCUUGACGGUACCUAAUCAGAAAGCCACGGCUAACUACGUG